GAAAUGCGAUAAGUAAUGUGAAUUGCAGAAUUCAGUGCAUCAUCGAAUCUUUGAACGCACCUUGCGCUCCUUGGUAUUCCUUGGAGCAUGCCUGUUUGAGUAUCAUGAAAUCUUCAAAGUAAAUCUUUUGUUAACUCAAUUGGUUUCUACUUUGGUAUUGGAGGUCUUUGCAGCUUCACACCUGCUCCUCUUUGUUCAUUAGCUGGAUCUCAGUGUUAUGCUUGGUUCCACUCGGCGUGAUAAGUUAUCUAUCGCUGAGGACACUGUAAAAGGUGGCCAAGGUAAAUGCAGAUGAACCGCUUCUAAUAGUCCAUUGACUUGGACAAUACUUUUAUGAUCUGAUCUCAAAUCAGGUAGGACUACCCGCUGAACUUAAGC
rnacentral:misc_RNA from 1 species